GCCGCGGCCAGACUGAAGGCAGGUCGCCUUUCCGGCACCGAGCUGACGCCAAGACCGGCCACCAAACUCAUAUAAGAGGAAGCGCCCGGAGGCACCUAGGCACGCGCCGGGGACGGGGACGGGGACGGCACCGAGAGCGCCUGCUGCCCAGGAGGUCUCCGGUUUGGGUGAGAAGCGACUGAAACGAAAUGAGUAAAAGCUACACUUCAAAGCACCCAGGACGGGUGGUCUCUGACGCAGAGGAGCUGAAGGUGUUCUGGGAGAAGAAAAUCCAGCAUCACACGCGGCAGCUGCAGAGAGAGGGCGAGCGGAUCCGCAGGAGCGCCCUGGACAGGCUCCGUGGAGAAUGGGCUCAGCAGCUGGAGUUGAGGCACAGGGCGCUGCAGGCUCCCCUGGAGGCCGCCCCGCGGGCCUCCGGAGACAAGACGGCAGCCUGAGUCCUGCGUGGAGCGGAGGCGCACAGCCAGCCACGUGAGUUCCCCCGAGAAGGGACACCCCGUGAGGGGCCGUGUGUGGGCACCGCCCGCAGAGCCACUGCGCCCACCACCAAGCUUCACGGGCGCUCUCUCCCGGCUCCGCUCGGCUGCCAUUGGUUUUGCUUUUGAAGCACAUAGUAGGUGCC